CAAUUAAUUAAAUAUUUACCAAAGACAGUAGCUGUGGUAUCCACUUAAUUUGCUACCGAGGAAAAAUAAACCUGGAACUUAUUUUCUCUCUUUAUAUGUCUUUAUAUAUUAAGAGGGAUUUUAUUUAUUAAAA
rfam:Acholeplasma laidlawii PG-8A, complete genome.